rnacentral:rRNA from 1 species
GUUUUUCGCUCUAAGAUGAGCCCGCGUGAGAUUAGCUAGUUGGUGAGGUAACGGCUCACCAAGGCGACGAUCUCUAGCUGGUCUGAGAGGAUGAUCAGCCACACUGGAACUGAGACACGGUCCAGACUCCUACGGGAGGCAGCAGUAGGGAAUAUUGCACAAUGGAGGAAACUCUGAUGCAGCGACGCCGCGUGAGUGAUGAAGGCCUUCGGGUUGUAAAGCUCUGUCGCACAGGAAUAAGAAAGUG